AUUUCCCCACAGUGUCCAUCAUUUUGAACAGCACCGGCUGUGAUUUAGCACGAAAGAUGCCUGUUCAGUUUUCCACCUGAACAAGUGCCCUCUGGACCCAGGCCCCGAGGUGCUGCCAGCGAGGGUGAGAGGGUUCAGAGAUGGAGGAAGCCAGGGUGUUGCUGCAGUCCAGCAGUCUUAUUCACAUUAACGCAGGAAUAUUUCCAGGCACUCUACACCAACCUGGCUCACCUGGACAAUAAAAGCUGUUAUAACAGGCUGCUGUUUGUGGACUACAGCUGAGCCUUCAACAGAAUCAUUCCAUGCUGGCUCACGGCUAAGCUCCUGAACUUGGGGUUCAGCUCUUCACUAUGUAACUGGAUU